rnacentral:rRNA from 1 species
UACGAAGGGGGCUAGCGUUGCUCGGAAUGACUGGGCGUAAAGGGCGCGUAGGCGGAUGGCACAGUCAGAUGUGAAAUUCCCGGGCUUAACCUGGGGGCUGCAUUUGAUACGUGUUGUCUUGAGUUCGGAAGAGGGUCGUGGAAUUCCCAGUGUAGAGGUGAAAUUCGUAGAUAUUGGGAAGAACACCGGUGGCGAAGGCGGUUCUCUGGGCCUUACCUGACGCUGAGGAGCGAAAGCGUGGGGAGCGAACAGG